CAAGUCGAACGAAUCCCGGAGGGCUUGCUCUCCGGGGGAAGUGGCGAAAGGGGCAGUAAUGCGUGGCUAACCUACCCCGAGGACGGGGAUAGCCUCCCUAACGGGAGGGUAAUACCCGGCGUGAUGGCUGAGGGGCAUCCUUUGGCCAUGAAACGAAUUUCGCCUCGGGAGGGGGUCACGUGGUAUUAGCUUGUUGGCGGGGUAACGGCCCACCAAGGCCAAGAUGCCUAGCGGGUGUGAGAGCACGACCCGCGCCACUGGCACUGUGACACUGGCCAGACUCCUACGGGAGGCUGCAGUCGAGGAUCUUCGGCAAUGGGCGCAAGCCUGACCGAGCGACGCCGCGUGUGCGAAGAAGGCCUUCGGGUUGUAAAGCACUGUCGAGGGGGAGGAAAGCCGCAAGGUCUGACCUAUCCCUGGAGGAAGCACGGGCUAAGUUCGUGCCAGCAGCCGCGGUAAGACGAACCGUGCGAACGUUGUUCGGAUUCACUGGGCUUAAAGGGCGCGUAGGCGGGCCGCCCGGUCUGUGGUGAAAGCCUCCGGCUCAACCGGAGAAGUGCCGCGGAUACCGGCGGUCUGGAGGGGUGUAGGGGCAUGCGGAACUUCCGGUGGAGCGGUGAAAUGCGUAGAUAUCGGAAGGAACGCCGGUGGCGAAAGCGGCGUGCUGGACAGGUACUGACGCUGAGGCGCGAAAGCCAGGGGAGCAAACGGGAUUAGAUACCCCGGUAGUCCUGGCCCUAAACGAUGGGUACUAGGCUGUGGGCUUGACAUGGGCUCACAGCCGAAGCCAAAGUGGUAA
rnacentral:rRNA from 1 species